UGGCAAACGGGUGCGUAACGCGUAAAUAACCUGCCCCAAACUGGGGGAUAGCCCGGCGAAAGCUGGGGUAAGCCCGCAUAGUCUUUUUCCUACACCUGUGGGGAUCAGUAAAGCAGCAAUGCGGUUUGGGAGGGAUUUGCGUCUGAUUAGCUAGUUGGGGGGUAGUGGCCCACCAAGGCGAUGAUCAGUAGGGGCUCUGAGAGGAGGGUCCCCCACAUGGGCACUGAGACACGGGCCCA
rnacentral:rRNA from 1 species